UGGUGUGUAUUUUUCACAGAUCCAUCCACAUCUGCAAUAACAUACCCAGUACCCACAAAACAUCUGAAGUCCGGUAGCACAAUGAUCCUCACGCUGCAGACUGUGCAUCACAGUGACAUAGCUGCACUUGUUGUAGCACAGGAAGACCCACCGGAGAUGAAGGUCCAAGUGUACCAACGCCCCGGAGCCCCAAUCGCCGGGUUGAUGAUGUACGCUAGGUUGGACGGCACGUGGUACCCAUGCGGUUGGAUUCGCGAGAAGAACAAGGACUCUGUCCUUAAUUUGUCAUCGGAAGGGGGCUUAGAAAGCCUGAGCUGUGUCCUACAGGACCGGUACACUAAGAAAGGCUACCAUGUCUUAAAAGUUAGCAUACUUUAGAGCCUUAUCAAAAUGUUUUGACGGCACUACAAUUCACUACAUUACAAUAUUUAAACAGCACUAAAGUUUACUACGUUAUAAUAGUUAAACAUUGGUUGAAAUUUCUAACCACAAGUAAUAAAAUUGUAAAUGUAAUAGAUGUUUAAAAGCUACACACUGCAAUGUAGGUUGUGUGCUGUAUGUACCAGAACAUGCCGUUAAUAAAACAUCUCUUGUCA